rnacentral:lncRNA from 1 species
GCCUGACAGCUAUGAAGGACUGGAAAGCCCCAGGGAUGACAGCAAAGACCUAAAAUAUGUUACCCUGAACUUUAAACCCCGGCUCAGCCCUGAGGAUCCUCUCUACUGUAAUGUUGAACUAAGUGAGGCUCACAGGAAGCCCAAGGAUGAAAACGUGGAAUAUGCAAUCAUUGCAUUCAAGCAGUUACCAACGAAUGACAAGGGAUGAAGCACAGAAUCCCGAAACGAUCCAGAAAUGGGAGAAAAGAACUGGAAUACAAAGUGGGAAUGGGGAGUAGAAGGUGUGUGGAUGGACACUGGGGGAAGAUGUCAGGUUUUGCUGCCACGUGUAUGUUGCCUCUGUGUUUUAAGACCUCCCUCCUAUUAGGGAGAAGAGACUGACCCCCCUUUGCUACAACCUCCUCUCAGGGAGUUGUGGAGAGCGAGAAGGUCUCCCCUGAGCCUCCUUUCUGCAGCUGGACGCCCCCGGUUCCCUCAGCUGCUCCUCACAGGCCGGCUUCUGCAGAGCUUUCACCACAGCAAACAAGCUCUCGGGGCUUUUGUGCAGCUUCAUGGGCCUUGGAAAGUGAUGCUGUUACUUCCCUCUCUCUGCUGGAAAUACUCCAAAUGACACAUUUGCUGCCUUGACUGAGCAGUCAUGUGGCGAGCAAUGUGCAAUGAGUUUGCUGGGGCUCAGCUCCAUUGCUCCAAAAGACCACAAACUCUGGCACUUGAUUUAGCUGCACCCAGCUCUGCAGGAGCCUGAACCCACUCCUCUUCACAAGCCACUCACAUCCAAAAGGCUUCUCUUGCUAUGGCUGCAGCAGGGAAGCUGAGGUGUUUCUUGAGAUUUUCAGAGUUGAAAUGUUUAAAACUUGGAAUGACAGCAAGAAAAAGAAAAUGGUUCUGGAAACAGUUCCUUCAGCCCAAGAUUCCUUCAACUAUUUGCUAUUCACGCAGUCAGUUACACCGGGUUGAACAGUGGAAGAGUAAGAGUAGAAAACAACUGAGUGGAAGAGAGACAUUUUCAGGCAGACAGUUGCUUCUGAUCAAAGAGAACCCAAAUUUGUGCUCACUGGAGCAAGAACGAACAAAACCUGCAAGCAGCCAGCCUCAGAGAGACUGUCCGGACACUGUGAGGUACCAUUUCCUUAAACUGUAAUUAGAGGAAAGAAAAAGAAGGCACUUGUGAAUGGAGAGGCCUGUGGGUUUAUCUGCCUGUGAAGCAGAUAACCACACACGUUACCAAGGGUCUACUUGUACUUUCAUUUACUCCAAGUAAGUAGGUUCAGAACAGAAAAACCAGCACCACCCACAGCCUACCAGGGUGCUGCCAUCACAGGAGGCUCCAGCUGCCAUCCUGAGCACUGAGUCAGUGCCCCCAUGCCAUGAUCCUCUGUGCUUUCUGUUCCAUACAAAAUAAAGAUGUCUGUUUUGCUCAUGUGAAGCACCUCACAGCUUCACCCAACACCGUC